AUAUAUAUAUGUGUGUAUGUGUGUGUGUGUGUGUGUGUAUAUAUAUAUAUAUAUAUAUAUAAAUAAUAAA
rnacentral:miRNA from 12 species